rnacentral:lncRNA from 1 species
GGCCUCUCUGGGCCAGGCCAGCACACAGACAGGCAUCGUGCCCUGCUCAGUGGACAGAGACGCUGGACUCCCGGCCAGGUGCAUAGGGUGAGCAGGGCCCUAAGCAGUGGGUUCUGGUGGGUCUGGCCUCCACAUGGCCCAGCUGGUUCCUUGAACCAGUGGCCAGGGGGACAUGCCAUGCCAGGGUCAGGGGAGAGUGACCAACAACAACCAACAGGUGCUGUCAUCUGCAAGCUCAGUCCCUGUGUCAGUCCUCACAGCACCCGUUGCUCUGGGCGGGGAUGCUCCAGGGACCCAGGGAAACCGGGCUGGGCGCCCUCCCCAGAGCCAUGCUGGCCCUGUUUCCAUCCAGCUGAGACCCCAAGCAGGAGACCCGGCCCUGUGGCCCCAUGCCCAUGUCUGGUGUGGGCAGUGACCACAGGACCGUGUCUCCCUCACCCUUGGGCUCCUCACCCAAGUGCUCCCCAGGGCACAGGCCCAGCCCAGGCAUUUGGAGAGGAAGCAGCUUGCCCAGGUGACACCCGGGUACAAAAGCCCAGCAUGGCCGCACUUCAGGCUGUGGGCUGAGGGAAGAGGAGGGCCUGGAGAGAGGGCAGGCGCCGUGUGGCCGACCCCCGGGAGCCCUUCCUGGUGGUCCCUGGGACGCCUCUGGGUGGGCCUCCACUGGUGUCUGAGCCUCCCCAGAGGCCGCUCCUCCUCCUGCCUGGCCUGCCCCUAGAGCCUGCCUCCUAGGUGUCUGCAGCAGGAGCCCACCCGUCAGCCCCCGACCUUGAC